UUUCUGAGAGAGUGGGACAUCCGGCUUGCGAGCAGGCAGAUUCGUUUUGGGCGUGACAAAAGAGCAACUUAAAAAUGGGUGACGUUGAGAAGGGCAAGAAGAUUUUUGUUCAGAAGUGUGCCCAGCGCCAUACCGUGGAAAAGGGAGGCAAGCACAAGAUUGGCCCAAAUCUCCAUGGUUUAUUUGGUCGAAAGACAGGUCAGGCCCCUGGAUUUUCUUACACGAUAACAACAAGAACAAAGACAUCGCCUGGGGAGAGGAGACACUGAUGGAGUAUUUGGAGAAUCCCAAGAAGUACAUCCCUGGAACAAAAAUGAUCUUUGCUGGCAUUAAGAAGACAGGAGAAAGAGCAGACUUGACAGCUUAUCUCAAAAAGGGCUACUAAGGAGUAAUAGUUGGCCACUGCCUUAUUUAUUACAAAACAAAAAUGUCUUGACUUUUUCUUAUGUGUACCAUAUUGAAAUUGAUCUCAUACACCAGAAUUGGAUCAUGAAUGGCUGAUAGAAUAUUUCUUUUGGACAGUCCUGAUUUAAAUAAGAUGGGCUCGUGGUUAAAUGAAUAGGAUCAGCUUUUUGAACUUUGAUUGUAAUUCUGGUUCAGCAAGUGCUGUCACUGUUUUCCCCUUCCAGAGAUUCGAUUACAAUUGAUUAGUAAUGGUCAGCUUUUCACAGAGACGGUAAAUGCCAUCUCUAAACUUAUAGAAGAUUAGUUUUAUAUUUAGACUUAUGUAACUGGUUAUACUAAUAUAUUUAAAUACUGAGGAAAUCCCUUCACCGUCUCAUAGAACAGCAAGACUCAGCUGUGUUUCAAGUUGUGUUUGUUAGCCUGUUAAAGGCAAGGGCUGAAGAUAAGCUGGCAGUGUCCACUUUACCUUUUUGUCUUAACUAUGCCAAUUUAAUUAAAAUUCCCUGCAUCUAAA